rnacentral:rRNA from 1 species
UACGUAGGGUGCAAGCGUUAAUCGGAAUUACUGGGCGUAAAGCGUGCGCAGGCGGUUCGCUAAGACAGAUGUGAAAUCCCCGGGCUCAACCUGGGAACUGCAUUUGUGACUGCACGGCUGGAGUGCGGCAGAGGGGGGAUGGAAUUCCGCGUGUAGCAGUGAAAUGCGUAGAUAUGCGGAGGAACACCGAUGGCGAAGGCAAUCCCCCUGGGCCUGCACUGACGCUCAUGCACGAAAGCGUGGGGAGCAACAGG